AGAGUUCGAUUCUGGCUCAGAACGAACGCUGGCGGCAGGCUUAACACAUGCAAGUCGAACGAUCCCUUCGGGGAGAGUGGCAGACGGGUGAGUAACGCGUAGCAAUCUGCCUAUCACUACGGAAUAACAUCGAGAAAUUGUUGCUAAUACCGUAUACGUCCUCCGGGAGAAAGAUUUAUCGGUGAUAGAUGAGGCUGCGUUAGAUUAGCUAGUUGGUGAGGUAAAAGCUCACCAAGGCGACGAUCUAUAGCGGGUCUGAGAGGAUGAUCCGCCACACUGGGACUGAGACACGUCCCAGACUCCUACGGGAGGCAGCAGUGGGGAAUAUUGGACAAUGGGCGAAAGCCUGAUCCAGCCAUGCCGCGUGAAUGAUGAAGGCCUUAGGGUUGUAAAAUUCUUUCGCUAGGGAUGAUAAUGACAGUACCUAGUAAAGAAGCCCCGGCUAACUCCGUGCCAGCAGCCGCGGUAAUACGGAGGGGGCUAGCGUUGUUCGGAAUUACUGGGCGUAAAGCGUGCGUAGGCGGAUUGGAAAGUUAGGUGUGAAAUCCCAGGGCUCAACCCUGGAACUGCACUUAAAACUGCCAGUCUAGAGUUCUGGGGAGGUAAGGGGAAUUCCUAGUGUAGAGGUGAAAUUCGUAGAUAUUAGGAGGAACACCAGAGGCGAAGGCGCCUUACUGGACAGAUACUGACGCUGAGGCACGAAAGUGUGGGUAGCAAACAGGAUUAGAUACCCUGGUAGUCCACACCGUAAACGAUGAGAGCUAGUUGUCUGCAGGCAUGCCUGUAGGUGACGCAGCUAACGCAUUAAGCUCUCCGCCUGGGGAGUACGGUCGCAAGAUUAAAACUCAAAGAAAUUGACGGGGGCCCGCACAAGCGGUGGAGCAUGUGGUUUAAUUCGAAGCAACGCGCAGAACCUUACCUACCCUUGACUUCCUCAUCGCGAUUUCCAGAGAUGGAUUUCUUCAGUUAGGCUGGAUGAGUGACAGGUGCUGCAUGGCUGUCGUCAGCUCGUGUCGUGAGAUGUUGGGUUAAGUCCCGCAACGAGCGCAACCCUCGUCCUUAGUUGCCAGCAUUUAGUUGGGCACUCUAGGGAGACUGCCGGUGCUAAGCCGGAGGAAGGUGGGGAUGACGUCAAGUCCUCAUGGCCCUUACGGGUAGGGCUACACACGUGCUACAAUGGCGCUGACAGAGGGUUAAUCCCUAAAAGGCGUCUCAGUUCGGAUUGCCUUCUGCAACUCGAAGGCAUGAAGUUGGAUCGCUAGUAAUCGUGGAUCAGCAUGCCACGGUGAAUACGUUCCCGGGCCUUGUACACACCGCCCGUCACACCAUGGGAGUUGGUUCUACCCGAAGGCGCUGCGCUAACCGCAAGGAGGCAGGCGACCACGGUAGGGUCAGCGACUGGGGUGAAGUCGUAACAAGGUA
rnacentral:rRNA from 1 species